rnacentral:rRNA from 1 species
GACGUAGGGCGCGAGCGUUGUCCGGAUUUAUUGGGCGUAAAGAGCUCGUAGGCGGCUUGUCGCGUCGACUGUGAAAUCCCGCGGCUCAACUGCGGGUCUGCAGUCGAUACGGGCAGGCUAGAGUUCGGUAGGGGAGAGUGGAAUUCCCGGUGUAGCGGUGAAAUGCGCAGAUAUCGGGAAGAACACCCGUGGCGAAGGCGGCUCUCUGGGACGGUACUGACGCUGAGACGCGAAAGCGUGGGGAGCGAACAGG